rnacentral:rRNA from 1 species
UAUGACCAUUACCACCCUGAAUGCGCUCCAUCUCAUUUGAUCUCAGAAGCUAAGCAGGGUUGGGCCUGGUUAGUACUUGGAAGGGAGAAUAGGGACCCAUCCUGUGGCCUCAUCU